CUUCCAUUUUGGUCAAGCUGGCAGAGAUUGUUUAGGACUAUGCAGUUCAGGCAAGAUCUGAAAAAGGUUUUGGGACAUGUGUGUUAUCACAUUUUGGCUGCUGGUCUGAAUGGUUACAUGGCUAGUGUGACAAAUGUUAAGAGUUCGUUGAACAAGUGGCGUUGUGGCGUUGCCCUUAUUUCGUCUAUGAUGACCGUGAAGCGAUGGUCACGUGGUCCUGCAAGCUCAGCAAUGGAUUGAUGACAAGUACACCAUUUUCAUCUCCGAGAUGGUGUCGAAUUUGUUGCUGAUGGAGGUACAGUUUGAUUAUCAUCAUCUGCUGAAGCUUUUUCUUCGUUCAUGAUUACAAAAAGUGUAGAUGAUGUCGAAUUGGUUGUUGAUGGAGGUGAUCCCAAUGGAUCACUAUUUAUCUGAAGAUCUGAAAUCAUAGAUGAUGCGGAGAUGGAAGUGGCCAAUAUUACCAGCAAGAUAAAGACAGGAGUUGGUUGGUCUCUUCUCUACAUCAGAUAUAUAGCAGGAGAUACUUGUUACGGCGAAGUGCUUUGGAAUUAUUUAUGGUAGACAGGUCAAAUUUCUUCUUUGAUUUCGGGGUAUG